ACAACAGGACUGGUGUUCUUAAGGAAAGAGGAACAGACGCCAGGAGCAUGUGCAAAGAGAGAAAAGACCAUACAAGGACAAGGACAGAAUCCGAACCUUGAUUUUGGACUUCUGAAGAGAACCAUAACAAAGUCCAAGUCCCUAGCCGUUGUAAUUAUUAGCAUAUUCCUGGAGAAAAUUGCAACAGUCUACAUUAAAGGACUCCCUGCAGAAAUUUACACAGUAAUGCCAUGUCCCUGACCCAGUAACUUGUCUCAGUCAAAGAUGCCAACCAAAUUUGAAGUAAAUAACAUCUGGCAUCAUUAAAGGGAGAGAUGGAGGGCUUGAUCUUGGAAAAGCAAUCUAAGAAUGUAAAACUGUCUGAAUCUUAGGACACGGCCACAUUCUAAAAAUAUAAAAUAAUCACAGUCAUCAAAGUUUAAUUGGAAAGAAAAAGGGAAAUAUGGAAGCAACAUGUCUUUAAAGCAGAGAAAUGCCCACAUGACACAUACAGAGGUUUCUAAAAACCAGAAGCAGAUGGACUAAUCCAAGCUCCUCGGAACAGACGGCUUAGCACGCUCCCCACACUGAAAACGGGGCUCCCCCACAGAGCUCAGCAUCCACAGAAGGAUUUGCCCAGACUCGGCGUCAGAAUGAGCACUCAUGAACUUCCCCUGGCCCCAUUAUCAACAACGAUGAGAAAGGUGUAUCCUUACCUGACCCUAGAGCACACCAGCCACCUGACCGGCAGACACCAGAUACCAUUGAGCAAGAUUAAACACCUGCUUAACAGGAAAAGGAAAAUAGGAAAAAGGAUUAUUUUCUCAUACAAAAUUAAGCUGUACUCCCUCUGUUAAAACAGAAGAAGAAGAAGAAGAAGAGGAGGAGUGGGGGGAGGAGGGGGAAGAAGAAGAAAAGGUUUGCUGUGUUGAGAGAUAUGUAUUUUCAGGAAGCUGCUGGGGCAGUUAGUUAUCUACUACAACUCUAGUAGAUGGAAAGACUUGGACUUGGAAGAAACUAUUUCCCCACAUCUGGGUCCAGAUCCCAUCCUUCAUCAUCUGAAAUUGGCAAAACCUGGGCCAAAAACUGGCUACUCUUUCAUGAGCAUUCUGCUGAAACCUGAGGUGCCUGAUUUUGGAGUUAUUGGAGAGGACAGAAAAGCUGAACCUUUCCCUCCUGUAGGGAGAAGUGGACCUUGGACCACAGAACUUGAUGGACAGGUGUUUGGAAGCAGGUGCUAUGGACACCUAGAAGAGAGUCCAAGCUGGGAGACGAGGAUGUUUUCUUAGUAGAAUGAAAGUUAUUUAUCAAGAUGUAUUCCUGGGAAAAAUGGGUAGGACAGUGGGGAAGGGAGACCCAGAAGAGCAGUAGACAAAGUGAAGGAGAGACAUCAAAUAAAGCCCCACAUUGAGCAUGGCUCAAUCCUGCAGGUGAGCCCUGGAGAAGGAGGACUUCACAUGUCACAGUUGUCCUGAUCAGAGGACAACUGGAGAGAGGCACUGGAGUUACUGAUGAAGGACUGCUCUUGGAGAACAUAAAGUUUCAGGCAAUUUGGCUCCAUAGAUAUGCAAAUAAAGUAGGUUUUGACAGUUGAGAGCUUCUCUCCAACAAAAAGUUGCAGGUACCUGCUAUCUUCUGGGAGUCAAAGCACAGCACACCAACAAUCCACCUGGACAAACAUGGUGAAGGGACAUGAGGGGUAAUGGUCAGAGUGUCCUCAAAAUGAUGUUUUCUGUUGCAGAUACCCUCACAGGAUACCCUUUUCCCAAAGUCUGAGGCAGGAAAGGCUCCUUUCCUUUGUGUUUGUUGGGUAAAGUGUUAAGUUCUCUGAUUUCUACACUCUGCUGCUUGGUGAAAAAUGACCCAUCUUCUAAAUUAAAGAACUAGGUAUUAAUAUAUUUUAAUUUAUUCUGAAAAUCUUAGUAGGGACAGAAAGAAGGACAAGGAGUUCAGGAUCUCAUUGAAGUACCUGAAGAGUCCACCCAGGAAAAUGACCAUGGAUUCCUAAGUACAGUCACCACAUUUCCUGUAAUUGAAGUGACAGCUGUUGAGAGGGAGGGCCAGCAGCUGUCUUAAUGUCUUGAUUUCUGUGCCUGGUCUAUCAUUAGCAAGGAAGAAAAAAAAAAGUUGAUAUAGCCUAUUGUCAUCAAAUGCAUUGCUGAGAUCAGAUUUAUGUUUAUUUCAAUCGCUCAGGUUUUAUGUUUACUUUUUUUUUUGUAAAAAAAAAAAUGCCUUUCAAACUCUUCCUCUCCUUCAUCAUAUUUUUUCUUCACCAAAAACAAACAUAGUAUAGUGACACUGCCUAGGCAGCAGUUUCUUGAGUCAGAUUGGAAGGGCUAAGUAUGAAUGGAUGAGAAUAAAACCAAAAUUGAGUUGGGGGAUCUUCUGUUGAAACAGUGAUCUUGUCUCUCCUACUUUUCAAAGCAGCCUCUCCCCUUGUGCCACCUGCACCCGAGGGUCAAAAGUCCUGCAGCUCGGCAGGGAGAAAGAGCAGUCAGAACUGUCGUAUCUGCAUUGCUUGCUUAUCCCAGGAAGCCUGUACCCACGAACCCAUGUCCUGGUGCACCAGGAGUAUUUAGUAUGCUGUAAUAUCAGCAUCAAGAGUGUCUAGGGCAUGAUUCUGCAGAAGCUAUGAUUCUUUCGAUGCUUCUUCCCCAAGAUUCAAUUUGUGACCUGAAAUUUGUAGCAGAGCCCUUAAGGCAACUAUGUCAGAAAAACCAGGAACCACCUACUGCUACUCACACUUAACAGUUGUGGUUAAUUUAUCACAGUAACCCAUGAUAUGAAAGGGAGAGCAGAACCCCCUAAUGGGGUACGACACAUAAAUACUUUAUGAUGCUUAACAUGAGGAUUAUCCUCAUAAGAAUAUAUUACAAACAGUAAUAGCAGUAAGACAUUUCCAGGCCCUUCCAACCCAUCCAGUAAAGCAGGUGUUAAAAUAGUUACCAAUUGAUAAGGUCAUUUCAAACCUAUAAAUAAAACUUUUUAAAAGUUCAACUUGUUGAACUUUGUGUGCCCAUCUUUGGCUUCUAUUUAUCAUGGAAGGUAAACAAUGGUUCAACUAUGUUUAUAUUAAUAGCAUUUUACCUGCACAUGAUUUACUUAGGUAAGAUUGAGCUUCUCUUUUUGAUUAGAUAGCUCCUCCCAUAUUUUGACCUUGAUAAGUAGGACAGCUCUCAAUAUAGUGUUGAGCUAAUUAAAAAUGUACUGAAUACAAAUAGGCAAAGCACAGAGGAUUUUUAGGGCAGAUUUUAGAGUAGUGAUUUUUUAAAUACUACACUAUGUGAUACCACAAUGGUGAUAUAUGUCUAAGCCCAUAGAACAUACAACACCAAGAGUGAACCCUAAUGGAAACUAUGGACUUUGAGUGUCAAAUGCCACGUUAUGUUGGGGAACGUUGAUAACAGGGGAGACUGUGCCUGAGUGGAGGGAGGGCUGCAUGGGAAAUCUCUGUACCUUUCAUUUAAUUCUUCUG